CUGUGUAAAAUGACACAGGGCACUCUGGCUGGAUUUCAAGCUAACCAGACAGAUUGGUUAGCUCGAAAUCCAGUCAGAGUGCUCUGUGUCAUCUUACA